CCCGGUUUUUCCUGGUUUUUCCCCACCUCCCCACGACCACCAACCCUGCCCCCAGCCCACUCCCGAAGCCUCCCCACCCAAACCACGCAGCUCGGAUCCGCCGCACCUCCCUGCCGUCGGCGCCGCUGCCCCAUCCCCAGCGCUGCUCCUCCCUCGCGACGCCGCACCUCCCGACGCGCCCGCCAACCGCGCAGCUCAGAUCCAGCGCACCUCCCUGCCGUCGGCGAAGCCGCCCCAACCCCGGCGCCGCUCCUCCCUCCCGAUGCCUCACCACCCUCCCCAGCGCCGCACCUUCCCCGCGACGUCGAUCUCCUCCCGACGCGCCCGGCGCCGCUUCCACCGCCACCACCAGCACCUUGGGCUCGGACACCGCCGCGGACGCCGACCUGUGGAUGGCACAACUCCCGCGGCCACCUCCGUCCCGUCUUCAGGUGCGCUGCUCCCCAGCGGUUCGUCAACUCGGCGAGAUCCUCCUCCCGUUCCCGAUGCGGGCAAAUCGGGUUUCCGUUCCCGAAGUUGCACCAUCCUCCCGACACCACGACGCCGCAUCCACCGCCAUGAGCUGCGCCUCGGGCUGGGACGCCGCCGCGGACGCCGACCUGUGGACGGCACGACUCCGGCUGCCUCCACCGCCCCGUCUUCAGGUUCCUGGAGAUCUAGCCCCAAACGUGGGCUGACCUGGAGGAGACCGCCGCGUCGCCCAAGGCCAAGCGUCACAUUGCUUCAGUACACUCCACAACUCCCGUCACUGUCGCCCCCAAGAGAUCCUCCUCAGAACUGCCGACCAGAUCCUCCAAGAUCAUUAUAGUCAUGGUUCCUCAUUGAAAUGUGCUGAUGGUUUAUGCUGUCAGUGUCUUUGAAUGCAACAAAAAUGACAGGUAGUACCUACUUUUAUUACACUCAUCCUUGAUUUCCCUUGGUUUUGGUGAAUUCCCCUGGUAGGUGCUGAUGAUUUGUCCAGUGUGUAGUUUUUAAAUUAGCUUUUAGGUUGUUGCAAGCAGUAGCUGCAUGAUCCUUGUUCCAGUUCCCCCUUCCCAGUUCUUUUGUGUGUCACAUCAGACAUUGAAACAAUGUUGAUUUGCAGAAUUGGUUCUCAACCGAGCAGGGUGGUGUUCGAGAUCACGCAGGAGAGCUGGAGAGAGUAUGAGCUUCUCAGAAACACGGAUACGGCAGGGAGGGUGCGUAUCCCGUGUUGGAUACGUAUCCGACACGGAUACGCCUGGGAUACGGUCGGGAUAUGUAUCCACGGCGUGUCCGCGUAUCCCUGCAACAGUGAUGCUGGAAACUCACGAACGGAUACGUAUCCAACGGCGAUGAGCCGGCCGCGCGCGCCGCUCGGUCCGCCCGCGCUGCUCCGCUCGCCCACGGCUGCAUGCUGCUCCGCUCCUCCCAUGGCCGCGUGCCACCCAUGCCGCUCCUCCCGCCUCCGCCCGCACCGCUCCGCCCGCGGCCGUCCGCGCCGAGCGGAGAGGAGGAGGCGGGAGGAGCGGCAUGGAUUGCCUGAUGCAAGUUAAUAUAUCUGGAUCAAUAUACUUGCUAAUCAUUCAAAAGCUCUGAAGCUUUUGACUUGACAAUAUUGUUGUUCAUUAUACUAUGCUUAUUCCACGCCUGUAUUCUUUUGGUUGAUUUCUUUGCAUAGACCUGUUGUCCUCAGCUGAUUGAUGCUGGGUUAUCGUAGGUGACAACAUAGAGAUGGAGUGAAGGCUUGCGGAAGAAUUGGGCACAAGAAAUAGCAUGUCAAACUUUACGGCUAGCUGAGGCGUUGUUGCUUUGUGGCGUUGAUGCAAUGCAAAAACACUGAGUCAAUUGAGGAAUUAUAAAAUAUUAAUGGCCCUUGCAUCAGUAUCA